rnacentral:rRNA from 1 species
GACGAACGCUGGCGGCGUGCUUAACACAUGCAAGUCGAACGGUGAACGAGGGAGCUUGCUCCCUCCGGAUCAGUGGCGAACGGGUGAGUAACACGUGAGCAAUCUGCCCCGAACUCUGGGAUAAGCGUUGGAAACGACGUCUAAUACCGGAUACGACGCGGGAGGGCAUCCUCUCCGCGUGGAAAGAACUUCGGUUCGGGAUGAGCUCGCGGCCUAUCAGCUUGUUGGUGAGGUACCGGCUCACCAAGGCGACGACGGGUAGCCGGCCUGAGAGGGUGACCGGCCACACUGGGACUGAGACACGGCCCAGACUCCUGCGGGAGGCAGCAGUGGGGAAUAUUGCACAAUGGGCGCGAGCCUGAUGCAGCAACGCCGCGUGAGGGACGACGGCCUUCGGGUUGUAAACCUCUUUUAGCAGGGAAGAAGCGAAAGUGACGGUACCUGCAGAAAAAGCACCGGCUAACUACGUG